rnacentral:lncRNA from 1 species
CAUAUUAGCCUAAAAUACCUAAAAGACCUAUUAGAAUGUUUCAGAACCUAAAACAAAAGCUGCUACAAAAUAAAUAAUUAACCUCAAUUCAAGUCAAGCAAUACAAAAUAAGGUAAUAUCUUAGCCAUCCUUUCACUAUUCAGGAUCGGGUCUUGAUCGUCUCGAUAUGAAAUUAUUAAUAAAAAUAGAUUAACCUGCACUUACUCAUUAAGAAUACCAAAAACCCUA